GUUGUUGUCCUAACUUCGGUAAUUUCCGUGGUACGAUAAAAUUUAAAUAAACUACAAAAGUUACCAAAAUUUCUGAAUUCUUGUUUUUGCAAACAAAUAAAAAUUCAUGACGUAAUUAACAUCGAAAUUAUUCCGAUCCGUCCCGUUUUUUCAAGAUCGCGUUGAAACGAGAAUUAUGGCAGCCAUUAAAAAAAAAUAAUCGUAGAGUGACGAAACUUUUCAGAUGGGUCGUCUAGCAAGAGUUAUCGUUCUUUGUCCCAAAACGAUGCUUCUACCAUAAGUGCCAGCAUAGCUGGCAUAUUAUUGAGUACCCUCCAGCAACUAUUAUGAGAUGAAGAACAGGAAUAAAAAUUUUGACCAUUGACUUUGUGUGCGAUAAGUUCCCGUAUUCAAAUUACCCCAUAUCACAUGAAACUUGCAAAACUUCCAGUGAAUAAACUUAUAGACAGACUAGUGGAGAUAUUGAACCAGAUUGUUCCAAGAUUGUACAUGAUGUAAUACCACAUCCAGGGUCCCCACAGUUUUGUGUAUACAGGACAAUUGUACCUCAAACAUGGACAGUAAUAGCAAUUGAAUCAAAUGAAGAAAAUGAGACUUAAAAUCAUAGAAACUUAAAGAAAAGAAAUAUAAAGAUUUAUUUGCCAAUGGAUGAAGUUGCUUAUCUUAAAGGAUCAACGAUUAUAUUUGAAACAGUAUGUUGAGAGAAGUUCAGAACAAGCUAUUUUGUUUGAGGAGGAGUUGUCAGCACGUCAUCAUUGAAUAAAGUCAAUUGUAUUAGAAGUGAAGCCUAAACAGAAAUGAGACAAUUAUCAAAUAAUUCAAAGACUACAUGGAUGUUAUCUGGACUAACAUUUGUAUGACCCAAAUGUGGUAUUUUUCAUAUGAAGACUUACAAGGCAAAUAAUUGGCUGUGGCAAACAUGUGUAUGCAUUUAAAAUGUUUAAAGACUUGAUGAACUUGUACUGCCUUCUUCAGAUUUCAGUAGAAUUUGUUUAAGACAGUAAAUUCUGAGUAUGAAUUGAAGAAUUUUUGCUCAUUUAAAUGAAUUAUGAAAAUGUUUUACAUCUUAAAUAUACAAAAACAACAUACAUUAUU